rnacentral:rRNA from 1 species
UGCCUUAUAGUGGGGGAUAGCCUUUCGAAAGGAAGAUUAAUACCGCAUAAGAUUGUAGUAUCGCAUGAUAUAGCAAUUAAAGGAGCAAUUCGCUAUAAGAUGGACCCGCGUCGCAUUAGCUAGUUGGUGAGGUAAUGGCUCACCAAGGCGACGAUGCGUAGCCGACCUGAGAGGGUGAUCGGCCACAUUGGGACUGAGACACGGCCCAGACUCCUACAGGAGGCAGCAUG